GUAAUUGGAAUGCCUAGUUCCAUGCUCAAAUGGAAAAGAUAAUUGCAAACAAAACUCCCCCUGGAUUGUUGUUGGUAUGGACGGCACCCGAGUAUUCGGCUAGUUGUGGAGUGUGAUUGAUCGGUGGUGGGGAGUCAAAACUUUACUUUUCUGUUUGGGAACCACCUAUAGUAUGUGUAGCAUGGAAGAUGGUGAAAACUCUUAGUCAUUGCGUUGACAAUGAAAGCAUGCCAC
rnacentral:lncRNA from 1 species